rnacentral:rRNA from 1 species
CGGGACGGGUGAGUAAUGUCUGGGAAACUGCCUGAUGGAGGGGGAUAACACUGGAAACGGUAGCUAAUACCGCAUAACGUCGCAAGACCAAAGAGGGGGACCUUCGGGCCUCUUGCCAUCGGAUGUGCCCAGAUGGGAUUAGCUAGUAGGUGGGGUAACGGCUCACCUAGGCGACGAUCCCUAGCUGGUCUGAGAGGAUGACCAGCCACACUGGAACUGAGACACGGUCCAG